rnacentral:lncRNA from 1 species
GUCGAAGCUGGCGGGGGGGUUUUCCCAGACAACAGCCUGUCCCGUGCUGCUCCCUGCCAGCCCCAAAUCAGGAGUCCCCCCACCCCCGCACCACCGUGUUUCUAGUCCUGAGAGUGAUGGGCUGGGGGAUGGAGCCUCUGAAAAUUCCACGAAGGUACUGCCCAGUUUUAGCAAUGAAAGUCCCACGUCACGGGAAACCUCUGAGUCCUGGACAAAUCAAGAUGACAUUUUCUAUGCAUAUGCAAGCAUGUCACCAGGAGCAGAGCACAGAGGGACAACACAGCUUUUGCGCUUCCAGCUGGCUCCCAUCAAGAAGUUAGAAGGGAGCCUGCAAACACAUUUCCUGCUAUCAUCUCUCCACCCCAGAAUGACUUUCCCUGGUAGAGCUGGGGGAGGGGAGGCGGGCAGCAGGCCCCCCAGGAGGCCCUGGGCAGGAAUAUUAAUACUCCAACUUCCCAGCACAAGAGGAGGGAGGAGGAGCGGCCACGGCGCAGUCCGGUCCUGGGGGCCCUGGAAGGUGGUUGCUGAGCAGCCCGUGGGAGGCACGGAUCCGCCAGCUCACGGCGGCAGGGGCCGCCCAAGUCCUAAUGAAAACACCUAGCUCCUG